AGAAAACAAUAUUUGUAUUUAGUUUCGACCUAAAAUAAGGUUUAUCCUCUAUU
rnacentral:tRNA from 1 species